GAGAAUUGCUUGAACUCAGGAGGCGGAGGUUGCAGUGAGUGAAGAUUGGGCCACUGUGCCCCAGCCUAGGUGAGAGAGUGAGACUUUGUCUCAAAAAAGAAAAAAGAAAGAUUAACAUCCCUUAGAUACUCUAAAACAACUUAAACAUAAAAAAAGUUUACUAUUUAUACUGUCCCAUUCUAGUUACCCUGUUUUCUUUUUCCUCCACUUUGUUCCAGAUCCUUCAAGUAUUCGCAACUUUGAGAAAAUAAAACUUAACCUGCUGUGCAGAGCCCCUCUGCUCUCCCAGAAAUCAGCUGGUGGACAAAAAAGGGACAAACAGCAGCAGAAGAGACAACCACCUAAAUUAAAUAAUUGCAUCCUACAGAAAUCUUUCUUGCUCAUCUCCUAAUAUCAUCGACUACCUCUUUUAGAUGAAGCAUUGAACAUCUCUGCAUAUGUUUUAUCUGGUCAAGUUUACCUACAGAACCAUACACUUAUCAAAGCCGCAGAUACUCCACAUAGAGGAACAUCAAGUGACAGGUUCUAGUAUAAAAAUAUGAGUCAUUAACAUGUGAUGGGUCAAAUGUCUGAGUAAUGUUUUAUUGCUGUUAAUAAAAUGUAAGAUGGAGAGAAAUAUUUUCAAAGAAUCAUGAGUUUCAUAAAAAAGCGUGUCAACGGGUUUUCUGGAGUUAACAAAAUCAAUUCACUAGUCCUUUAUAUCAACAUAAAAGUAUAGAACAGGAAAAAUACUGAGGACUAAGUUCUUACUAGUUCUUAUAGCUCCAUUUAUUAAAAGUAAAAAAAAAAUAAAGUUGGGUAUGUUUAACAGCAUGUAUCUUUCAAAUAGAACAUCAUCUUAGCAAACAAAAUGUUAUUUUUCUCAUCUAUGAAUUUAGUAACCUUGAGAGUCAGUGUUUAACCAGAGUGAGAAAAGUAAAAAAUCUAAGAUUUGGAGAAUGUAGAUUUCAUGAAAAAUAUGUUCAAUAUACAUUUUCCCAAAGCAAACAUGAAAACGAUUUUUGUGUAUGUGUGUGUGAAAGCUCGUCUUUCACUGUGGCUUCUGAGUCACCGGCUUAUUGGAAUCCUUUUCUACCAGGAUUUGGUUUAAAGUGGAGGAAACUGAAAAGGGCAUGUCGGCUAGAGAGGAUUAGACUAGCAAUGGGGCAGGGCCUGCAUCAAGGCACCAAGACUGGAAGCAGAUAGGAGGAGCAAUUUGACUAUUCUGAGAGUCUAUUUAGCACUAAUAUUGAUGUUAUUAACAUCAUAUGCUAUUUUGCAAAAUGCUGAGUUUGAGGUGAUUUUACAUAAGUGUGUAUAUAUAUAUUUUCUUACUGUGUGAUUUGUACAUAUAUAUGUAUGUGGGGUGAUUUUAUGUAUGCAUCUAUGUAUGCAUGCACACUAUAUAUACCUAUACAUAUAUACACAUACAUAGAUUUGUGUGCAUAUAUAUGUACACACAAAAAUACAUUGAAGCUUCAUAGAAUGAGAUCAUGUAUAAACAAGUACUUUAUGUAAAGACUGGAGCAAUAUGUGGAAGAUAUAAAUAAGAAUUUCCAGUUUUGGAAGAUUAAUCUAGCAACAUUCACCUUUACAUUUCUAAAAUUGUAUUCAUAGAUUCAGAGCCUUAAGAAACCCCUAAAACACAGGAUUGUGACAAGAAAUUCAAGUAGGAUAACUGGGGCACA
rnacentral:lncRNA from 10 species